rnacentral:rRNA from 1 species
UACGUAGGGUGCAAGCGUUGUCCGGAAUUAUUGGGCGUAAAGAGCUUGUAGGCGGUUUGUCGCGUCUGCUGUGAAAUUUCGGGGCUCAACCCCGAACUUGCAGUGGGUACGGGCAGACUAGAGUGUGGUAGGGGAGACUGGAAUUCCUGGUGUAGCGGUGGAAUGCGCAGAUAUCAGGAAGAACACCGGUGGCGAAGGCGGGUCUCUGGGCAACAACUGACGCUGAGGAGCGAAAGCGUGGGGAGCGAACAGG